CAAGUACUCCCUCCGUCCGGAAUUACCUGUCAUCAAAAUGGAUGUGUCUAGAACUAAAAUACAUCUAGAUACAUCCAUUUCAGUGACAAGUAUUUUCGGACGGAGGGAGUACAAG
rnacentral:pre_miRNA from 1 species